AUACGGAGGGUGCAAGCGUUAAUCGGAAUUACUGGGCGUAAAGGGCGCGUAGGCGGUCUAUCAAGUCAGUUGUGAAAUCCCACGGCUCAACCGUGGAGGUGCAUCUGAAACUGAUAGCCUUGAGUAUGGGAGAGGAAAGUGGAAUUCCCGGUGUAGAGGUGAAAUUCGUAGAUAUCGGGAGGAACACCAGUGGCGAAGGCGACUUUCUGGACCAAUACUGACGCUGAGGCGCGAAAGCGUGGGGAGCAAACAGGAUUAGAAACCCUAGUAGUCC
rnacentral:rRNA from 1 species